rnacentral:rRNA from 1 species
AAAUUGAAGAGUUUGAUCAUGGCUCAGAUUGAACGCUGGCGGCAGGCCUAACACAUGCAAGUCGAGCGGUAGCACAGAGAGCUUGCUCUCGGGUGACGAGCGGCGGACGGGUGAGUAAUGUCUGGGAAACUGCCUGAUGGAGGGGGAUAACUACUGGAAACGGUAGCUAAUACCGCAUAACGUCGCAAGACCAAAGUGGGGGACCUUCGGGCCUCAUGCCAUCAGAUGUGCCCAGAUGGGAUUAGCUAGUAGGUGGGGUAACGGCUCACCUAGGCGACGAUCCCUAGCUGGUCUGAGAGGAUGACCAGCCACACUGGAACUGAGACACGGUCCAGACUCCUACGGGAGGCAGCAGUGGGGAAUAUUGCACAAUGGGCGCAAGCCUGAUGCAGCCAUGCCGCGUGUGUGAAGAAGGCCUUCGGGUUGUAAAGCACUUUCAGCGGGGAGGAAGGCGUUAAGGUUAAUAACCUUGGCGAUUGACGUUACCCGCAGAAGAAGCACCGGCUAACUCCGUGCCAGCAGCCGCGGUAAUACGGAGGGUGCAAGCGUUAAUCGGAAUUACUGGGCGUAAAGCGCACGCAGGCGGUCUGUCAAGUCGGAUGUGAAAUCCCCGGGCUCAACCUGGGAACUGCAUUCGAAACUGGCAGGCUAGAGUCUUGUAGAGGGGGGUAGAAUUCCAGGUGUAGCGGUGAAAUGCGUAGAGAUCUGGAGGAAUACCGGUGGCGAAGGCGGCCCCCUGGACAAAGACUGACGCUCAGGUGCGAAAGCGUGGGGAGCAAACAGGAUUAGAUACCCUGGUAGUCCACGCCGUAAACGAUGUCGAUUUGGAGGUUGUGCCCUUGAGGCGUGGCUUCCGGAGCUAACGCGUUAAAUCGACCGCCUGGGGAGUACGGCCGCAAGGUUAAAACUCAAAUGAAUUGACGGGGGCCCGCACAAGCGGUGGAGCAUGUGGUUUAAUUCGAUGCAACGCGAAGAACCUUACCUGGUCUUGACAUCCACAGAACUUAGCAGAGAUGCUUUGGUGCCUUCGGGAACUGUGAGACAGGUGCUGCAUGGCUGUCGUCAGCUCGUGUUGUGAAAUGUUGGGUUAAGUCCCGCAACGAGCGCAACCCUUAUCCUUUGUUGCCAGCGGUCCGGCCGGGAACUCAAAGGAGACUGCCAGUGAUAAACUGGAGGAAGGUGGGGAUGACGUCAAGUCAUCAUGGCCCUUACGACCAGGGCUACACACGUGCUACAAUGGCAUAUACAAAGAGAAGCGACCUCGCGAGAGCAAGCGGACCUCAUAAAGUAUGUCGUAGUCCGGAUUGGAGUCUGCAACUCGACUCCAUGAAGUCGGAAUCGCUAGUAAUCGUAGAUCAGAAUGCUACGGUGAAUACGUUCCCGGGCCUUGUACACACCGCCCGUCACACCAUGGGAGUGGGUUGCAAAAGAAGUAGGUAGCUUAACCUUCGGGAGGGCGCUUACCACUUUGUGAUUCAUGACUGGGGUGAAGUCGUAACAAGGUAACCGUAGGGGAACCUGUGGUUGGAUCACCUCCUUACCUUAAAGAA